GAUCCACGGCAUUCCUGGAUCUAUUUCAAGAGAAUAGAUCCAGGAAUGCCGUUUUUUUACGCGUG
rnacentral:misc_RNA from 1 species